AUGUUUAUUUUCAAUGAUUUAUUCUAGUCUUGUUCCUUAUCUACAUGGAAAACCACAAGUUGGCUGGCAUUGAGACACUCUCUACCUUCCUGUAAAUCCUGUAUUAAAACCAGUUCAAGAACCCUGGAGAAGUUUCCAGCUUCUUAAGAUCCUUAUUUCUUAUUAUCCUAUGUGAAAACUGAAAGUCAACAAUUUAUCUUGCUUACUCAUACUUUGAAGAAGUAAAUCUCAACUGAGAGAUACUUGAAAGUAGAGACAUUUUUUACUUACCACAUUUUCCUUAUCACAAUGUGAACUGAAAUCACUUGAUACAAUUGCAGCAUACUGGAGCAGCACUUUAUUGAUAGUCUAAGAAAGAAAACAUUGUGAACUUUACCCAGAAUCAAAAGGUGACAAUGUCCAAAUGCUACCAAGGUUUGCGGGUUGUACCAUUGCUGACAACAGAAAGAUACUGCUUUGGAGUGUGGGGAGAAAUUUGUGCUCUGGAAGCACUGAGGUCUUACUGGGAAUGAAGUGGAUCAUCAAUCAGACUAAUCAACAUUGGACUUGGCCUACAGCUUUGCUGGUUUAUAGCUUCCAAUGGGGAAAAGUCACUGCUGCAUCUUACUCAUUUUUUUUUCUGUAUUAAAAUAAAAGGCCCUGAUUGUGUCAGUAAAUUUUUUUGCUAAGAAUUGUUGAUAAAACAAAAAAAAAAUUCAUCCAUAAUAGUUCAAAUUAACCACUCAUAAAUAAUCAGUUUCAAGUAUGUCUCAGAAUCUUAUAACUUUUAUUACAAAAUCAUUACUUAUAGUUUUUUAUUAAAACACUCAAAUCUUUGUGGAUUUUACCUCUUGAAAUUUAUGGUACAUUUUCUCAUUACUUAUUUAAAUGUAACCUGUAAUUGAGAUCCUUUUUUGUGGGAGGAAAUUGAUUUCUAUCAAUGAUUUACAGCAUACAAAAACAAACUGUAGGAAUUUCUCUUUUUGGUAGAUUUCAACUAAGCUCUUUUUUCCUUAGCUUUUCUGAAUUUGCCUUCAUCUCCUUAUUAUUUACUAAGGAGAUGGGCCCAAGUGAUAGGUCAUGAAGAUAAAGUGAAAACAUGUUCACUUAGUUUAUAUUUUGACAGGAAGUAAAAACAUCCUAAAUAUUUGAUCAAUUUAAAAUGUAUUAUUGGCAGGAAUAGUUAUUUACUUACUUUACUGAUAAUGUAUUUGUUUAAUAAGUCUAAAUUUCCUUUCUCUGUAUGCCAUUUUAGUUCUGACAUGUUCAAUUCAGCUCAUGGUUUUAAAAUAACAUCUGGAUAGGAGUUCCUAAUGUAUCAUGUCUCAAUUUUACACUGAAAACGCAUAAGUGAACACAGAAAAUUAUGAAUACUUCCAUGCUCGCUAAAAAGUAAAACCAAUCAAUAACCAUGGCUAGGACCUAGGGGAAAUUUUCAAAACAACUGGAUUUAUAAAACUGCAAUACAAUGACCCAUUCAGAUGUGUUUGAGCACCUAAGACCAUGUCUCCCACUAUAAUCCUGACUCUUGCUGUUCAUCUCUUCCUCACCUCCAGUUGCUUGCCAGGUAUGAA
rnacentral:lncRNA from 1 species